rnacentral:rRNA from 1 species
AUGGUGAGAGUUCCUCGGAUGUUAUUUUUCGCUCAAAUUUUGCAAGAAGCUCAAGCAUUUGAUAAUUAUUUUUGUCUCAAAAUUUCAGAAUUUUUGGAUUUUGUUUUAUCAUGUUUUUUCAGUGUUUUUCGAAAUUCAGUGUACUACACUCGAGAGUUGUCACACCUUUCUAUAUAUCUCAUGGUUUUGUGGCUUAUGCCUUGGAAGGUUUUUGCCAAUGCACAAGUGCAAAGUCCUUUCAUUUUCCUCCUGUAUCCUCAGUUGCGUACUAUAACAUUUGACUAUGUGUCGUGUUGGUCUCAAUGGGCUGGCACAGUACUACAGACUAUGAAGGCUAUGUUUUCAAACAUAAAAUAA